rnacentral:lncRNA from 1 species
CCGUCGAGAUGGCCGAUCCCAUGGUCCCCUAGCAGUCGUAUGAGGAUGGUAAUGUUGCUGAGGCAGAAGCCUUCUCUAUCUGGUUUCGUUGCCUACCUGCUACUUUGUUGCUAAUAGGUUGUUACUUUCAGUGGAAGAGGCUAGGUUAUGGGAUGUUGUCACCUUGGAUUGCUUAGACGUCGAUGCUUGGACCACACUUAUUGAAGAGACAGAGAGGAUUGCUGAGGUGAAAUUGAAAUUGUUGCCUUACCAUACAGUGCAUUGUUCUCCUUUUUGCAACUUGCUGUAUGGAUGUGUCAUAAUUUUCAGCAGCUUAUCCUCUUUUUGUGCCCACAUGUGUUACAUAUUCCUGUGGUCAUAUGCAAUCGAUCUGUAUCUUGUGGACCACAAAGUUAUGCCAAUCUUUGUUAUGCAUGGAUGGUCACUCGCUCCCUUGUUUUUGUUUAGCACAUUUUCUUUCUACAUUUCUCUGUCUUGUAGGAUCCCAGUAUAUUUUCUUUUUGACUUCAU